rnacentral:sRNA from 1 species
ACACAUAUCUUGAACGGAGGGUGAGACCCCCGACUGGGGUUCGAGCCGAGCGAAGCGAGACAACGGAGCGUAGCGACGGCCCGAAGGGUGAGGUGAAGCCGAAUCAUCCCUUUUUAAAACA